rnacentral:rRNA from 1 species
UACGUAGGGUGCGAGCGUUAAUCGGAAUUACUGGGCGUCAAGCGUGCGCAGGCGGUUUUUUAAGCCAGAUGGGAAAUCCCCGGGCUUAACCUGGGAAUGGCAUUUGGGACUGCAAGGCUGGAGUGCGGCAGAGGAGACUGGAAUUCCUGGUGUAGCAGUGAAAUGCGUAGAUAUCAGGAGGAAUACCGAUGGCGAAGGCAGGUCUCUGGGCUGACACUGGCGCUCAUGCACGAAAGCGUGGGGAGCAAACAGG